CAUGGUCACUCCUGCUGGAUGUCUGGAAGGUGAAAACCAAGGACCUAGGGAAAUACCAGGUACAGCCUUUCCACCCUCAUCCAGAGCAGGACAAACAGGCCAGGUGGUAUCAGGAGCCCAGGUCUCCAGCUGGAGGGAAUGUCAACCCUGCAGUGGGAGCCCAUCACGCAUCCUAGGCACAGAUGCUAAUGUAGGCACCGCGGGUAAGCUGAGCUUGGUACCCCUCCCUGGCUUCAAAAAUAAGCCAAACAAGGAGCUUUCUGCAGAAUGAAACCUGUUUUUCAUCCAGAAGCACUGCUGACUGUUUGGUGGUUGCUGUUGGGGCAGUGAGCCUUUUGUCCAU
rnacentral:lncRNA from 1 species